rnacentral:tRNA from 1 species
GGAAGCGUCGCAUAGUGGCCAAUUGCACAGGAUUGCUAAUCCUGACCGGUUUUCCGGUUCGCGGGUUCGAAUCCCGCCGCUUCCGCCA